rnacentral:rRNA from 1 species
GCCCUUAGAGUUUGAUCCAGGCUCAGGAUGAACGCUAGCGGCAGGCUUAACACAUGCAAGUCGAGGGGUAACAGGGAUUGCUUGCAAUCCGCUGACGACCGGCGCACGGGUGCGUAACGCGUAUGCAACCUACCUUCUACAGGGGGAUAGUCAAUAGAAAUGUUGAAUAAUACCCCAUACGAUCUUUGAAUAGCAUUAUUUAAAGAAGAAAGUUCCGGCGGUAGAAGAUGGGCAUGCGUCCUAUUAGUUAGUUGGAGAGGUAACGGCUCCCCAAGACAUCGAUAGGUAGGGGUCCUGAGAGGGAGACCCCCCACACUGGUACUGAGACACGGACCAGACUCCUACGGGAGGCAGCAGUGAGGAAUAUUGGACAAUGGAGGCAACUCUGAUCCAGCCAUGCCGCGUGCAGGAAGACUGCCCUAUGGGUUGUAAACUGCUUUUAUACAGGAAGAAAUGUACCUACGUGUAGGUAUUUGACGGUACUGUACGAAUAAGGAUCGGCUAACUCCGUGCCAGCAGCCGCGGUAAUAAGGGCG